GUUACUCUUUCAUCGUGCGAAGUUUCAUCAAAAUUGGUGGGUGGCACUUGGCGGGGUCUCCUGUGAGUGAGAAUUUUGUCAGUGAGGCGUGUUUUGGUAUCGUUACAUUUUGUUACUAUUUUUUUUUCAUAGGUAUCUAAUUAGCCAUGGUGCCGAUUUGUACGCGAAAUAUCGCGCCGGGCAAACUCCUUUGGAAGUAGCAUUUAACUGCCGUAAUUUCAGUGUCGCGUAUCUGAUCGAAGAGAGUCGCAAUAUGCAAUCAAGAAGUCGUAUCAACCAAAUCCUCGAAUCUACCGAAGGGUCUGAUACGCCGAUGCGUAAUCGUCCAUAGCGAUGAACAUGAAGUGCAGCUGACCCAUAAUUGACCUCCCUCUGUGCAUCAUGAACUUGACCUGAUUCCUACGAAUGAAGAAAUCUGACAUGAAGGAAGUAGUUGCUGCACACCAACAAGGAUCAGGAGCUGACACCCUUCUAGAAACAGCUGACUGCACGAACCAUUUACGAAAAAGAAAUUAAGGGGAAAGCAAACAAUAAUAUAAUAAAUGUACAAAAUAAACACACAUAUAAUAAGAACUCCUAAAUUAAACCAAAAUCAUACCUGAAGAGAAAAUACAGUACAAUAAAUCUCCUCUUA